AUGAGGAGGCUUCUAGUUCAAAUCCUGUGCAUCACUAACAUUUUCCUGUGUUCUGCUAAUUCUCCUUCACUGAGUGAAGGCAUCCUGACAAAUCUGUCUGCAGCCGGCGAGAAGUAUGUGAAUGAGGAGAUAAAGAAAUCUCUACUCAGAGUGAAACAAGUAAAAGAAAAAAUGGAGAAAGAAGAAGAGAAGCACAAAUACCUGAUGGAGGAAGUGAGGCACAGUGGAGACAAGAAAAGGGGGGCCAUGCAGCUGGCCAGGGAAACGGAGCAGAAACUCAAGGAGGCCGAGCGGCAGUGUCGAGAUUUAACUAAGUCUUUCUUUGGGGAGUGUCGGCCUUGUCUGGAGGAUUCUUGUAAGGCCUUCUUUACCUCUACAUGUCGCCGUGGCUACGCUUCCUUUGCUUUUAAGGUUGAGGAAUUUUUUAGGAAAAUGGCCUCCCAGGUUGAGGCCACAGAGAUGAAUUCAGAUAAACUUAAAUCUGGUUCAGCUGAGAUUAAAGAGGAUGAAACAGACGUGGAGCUUCUUCAGGCUGAUGCUGCGUUCACUCAGCUGCUGUCGAACAUCAGUGACUUGUACAACCACAGCAUCAGUCUGAUGACGAGUUUGCAGCAUGUGCUUGGACCCUCCCUUCUCGAAGCCUUAACCUCAGAGCUCCAGUCGGGGUCGAUCUCUGCAUCGCCAGAUGAAUCUGAUGAUAGUCUUUUAAAAAGUUGGGGCUUGGAUCACAUCUUUUACUCAGCAUUUGCGUUUGGGAAAGAUGUGCUGGAGGAAUUGAGCUCCACGGUGGAGGAUGUAUUCGAAGAGAUUCAAGAAGCUGAUGAAUAUUUUCACCACUCAAACAGAGAUGCAGAAUCGCUUUCCUCGUUUGGACAGCAUCCAAAUGGGUAUCUGUGUCGAACGCUCCGCAGACAGGCAUCACAAUGUUGGCAGCUCCAAAACCUGUGUGAGACCUGCGGAAACAAUCUAAUAAAAGAGUGUCCGCAAUUGCAGCAGCUGCACUCUGAGAUGGAAGAGAUGCACACCCUGAUGAACGCCUCUCGUCUUCAGUAUGACGACAGGCUGCAGCUUGUUCACAGACACACAGUGGACACACAGAGGUGGCUUGGGGACACCAGGGACAAGUAUGGCUGGAUCAGCUGGGUGGCCAAUGUCUCAAAGGCUCAGAGCAGCAUCUUCAGGGUGAUCGCAGUACGUCUGGAGAAUACUUAGAAAAAGUAUUGCUUUUCAUUCUCUCUUUUUGGAUCGCAACAUCAAUUCUGGAGAGAUUUGCCGCUUAUAAAGAGUGAAUAUAAUCAAGCUAAUGCAGUAUCUGAUGUUUUUGCAAUAAAACAGUUUCAAAAAUAUUAAUAAUACAUAGUCGCUUUAUUAACAGAAACCUAAAUGAGCUGUUCUUAUUUAAAUAGUGAGAUGAUGCAGUUGUACUCUGAUUAUUUUUCAGGUGAAUCUGCAGCAACUGAGGACUAGCAGUCCCGGAGCUGACAGCAGUGUGGUUGUGUCCAUAUUGGAUUCAGCUCCUCUAACUGUAUCAGUCCCAGCAGAUCUAAUGGUAGAGGAUCCUGCUUUCGUGGAAUAUAUUGCUGACCAUGCUCUGACUCUCUAUAAGCAGCAAAUAAGUGGAAUGAACUGACCACUUCCAUUUCUGAACAAAUUUCUCUGAAGUUGAAACAAAUCUGCAGUCCAGUCCACUCAUCCUGCAUAAUUUGAAGUUUAUGUCACUAAAACAAAUUGGUAAAGCUUUUCAGCUUCUUGGCUUUUCAUUGAUAGAUUUUGACAGUAUACAGUCUGAUGCACUGAUGACUAUUUUUCCUUCUUAAUGCACCAAACUUAUCCUCAGCAUGAUCCUCAACAAUGACAUAAUGAAA